CCUGGCUCAGGACGAACGCUGGCGGCGUGCCUAAUACAUGCAAGUCGAACGCUUCUUUUCUACCGAGUGCUUGCACUCACUUGAAAAGAGGAGUGGCGGACGGGUGAGUAACACGUGGGUAACCUGCCCAUCAGAGGGGGAUAACACUUGGAAACAGGUGCUAAUACCGCAUAACAGUCGACACCGCAUGGUGUUGAUUUGAAAGACGCUUUCGGGUGUCACUGAUGGAUGGACCCGCGGUGCAUUAGCUAGUUGGUGAGGUAACGGCUCACCAAGGCCAUGAUGCAUAGCCGACCUGAGAGGGUGAUCGGCCACACUGGGACUGAGACACGGCCCAGACUCCUACGGGAGGCAGCAGUAGGGAAUCUUCGGCAAUGGACGAAAGUCUGACCGAGCAACGCCGCGUGAGUGAAGAAGGUUUUCGGAUCGUAAAACUCUGUUGUUAGAGAAGAACAAGUAGGAGAGUAACUGCUCCUACCUUGACGGUAUCUAACCAGAAAGCCACGGCUAACUACGUGCCAGCAGCCGCGGUAAUACGUAGGUGGCAAGCGUUGUCCGGAUUUAUUGGGCGUAAAGCGAGCGCAGGCGGUUUCUUAAGUCUGAUGUGAAAGCCCCCGGCUCAACCGGGGAGGGUCAUUGGAAACUGGGAGACUUGAGUGCAGAAGAGGAGAGUGGAAUUCCAUGUGUAGCGGUGAAAUGCGUAGAUAUAUGGAGGAACACCAGUGGCGAAAGCGACUCUCUGGUCUGUAACUGACGCUGAGCUCGAAAGCGUGGGAGCAAACAGAUUAGAUACCCUGGUAGUCCA
rnacentral:rRNA from 1 species